rnacentral:rRNA from 1 species
GACGAACGCUGGCGGCGUGCUUAACACAUGCAAGUCGAACGGAAAGGCCCUGCUUUUGUGGGGUGCUCGAGUGGCGAACGGGUGAGUAACACGUGAGUAACCUGCCCUUGACUUUGGGAUAACUUCAGGAAACUGGGGCUAAUACCGGAUAGGAGCUCCUGCUGCACGGUGGGGGUUGGAAAGUUUCGGCGGUUGGGGAUGGACUCGCGGCUUAUCAGCUUGUUGGUGGGGUAGUGGCUUACCAAGGCUUUGACGGGUAGCCGGCCUGAGAGGGUGACCGGCCACAUUGGGACUGAGAUACGGCCCAGACUCCUACGGGAGGCAGCAGUGGGGAAUAUUGCACAAUGGGCGGAAGCCUGAUGCAGCAACGCCGCGUGCGGGAUGACGGCCUUCGGGUUGUAAACCGCUUUCGCCUGUGACGAAGCGUGAGUGACGGUAAUGGGUAAAGAAGCACCGGCUAACUACGUG